GUGCUCGCUUCGGCAGCACAUAUACUAAAACUGGAACAAUACAGAGUAGAUUAGCAUGGCUCCUGCGCAAGGAUAACACGUAAAAAAAUAUAUCUAGUACAGGUCUCA
ensembl:snRNA U6 U6 spliceosomal RNA